rnacentral:rRNA from 1 species
GACGAACGCUGACGGCGUGCUUAACACAUGCAAGUCGAAGGGAGUGGCGAACGGGUGAGUAACACGUGAGUAACCUGCCCAUUUCUUUGGGAUAAGCCUGGGAAACUGGGUCUAAUACUGGAUGGAUUGGGAUGGGCUCGCGGCUUAUCAGCUUGUUGGUGGGGUGAUGGCUUACCAAGGCUUUGACGGGGAGCCGGCCUGAGAGGGCGUUGGGUCACACUGGGACUGAGUUACGGCCCAGAUUCCUACAGGAGGCUGCAGUGGUGGAUAUUGCACAAUGGACUAAAGUCGGAUGUCGCGCCGUCGUGUGGGGGAUGAAGGCCUUCGGGUUGUAAACUCCUUUCGACCGCGGAAUGGUGAUGGGUAUAGAAGCGCCGGCUAACUACGUGCCUGCAGCCGCGGUAAUAC